CGCGCGCAUAUUUUCUGAUGAUAGAUUGUAUGCGUGAGGUAAAGUCCGGGCUCCACCGGAAAAGAUGCCGGGUAAUAACCGGGCGGAAAAUGUAAGUUGUCUUAGUUGGAUUUUUCCAGACCUGGCAUAACACAUUCUUCCGACAGAAAGUGCUACAGAAAAUAACCGCCUGUAUGGGUAAGGGUGAAAAGGCAGGGUAAGAGCCUACCGCGUGUCCGGCAACGGGGACGGCAUAAGUAAACCUCAUCUGGAGCAAGAGCAUAUAGCAGUUUGGUUUCCGGCCUUAUGCUGCGGGUAGCUCGCUGGAAAAGACAGGCGACUGUCUUUGCGGAUAGAUGACCAUGCGCUUCUUUGGAGCGUACCAGAACCCGGCUUACUGUAU
rnacentral:RNase_P_RNA from 1 species